ACUCAAAGGAAUUGACGGGGGCCCGCACAAGCGGUGGAGUAUGUGGUUUAAUUCGACGCAACGCGAAGAACCUUACCAGGGCUCGAACGGGGGGGUAAACCCGCCGAAAGGCGGGCUGCUUCGGCGAUCCUCCCGAGGUGCUGCAUGGCUGUCGUCAGCUCGUGUCGUGAGAUGUUGGGUUAAGUCCCGCAACGAGCGCAACCCUUGCUCCUAGUUACCAGCGCGUUAUGGCGGGGACUCUAGGGGGACUGCCUCGGAUAACGGGGAGGAAGGCGGGGAUGACGUCAAGUCAUCAUGGCCCUUACGUCCUGGGCUACACACGUACUACAAUGGCUGCGACAACGGGUCGCAAUACCGCGAGGUGGAGCUAAUCCCUUAAACGCAGCCCCAGUUCAGAUUGCAGUCUGCAAUUCGACUGCAUGAAGGUGGAAUCGCUAGUAAUCGCGGAUCAGCACGCCGCGGUGAAUACGUUCCCGGGCCUUGUACACACCGCCCGU
rnacentral:rRNA from 1 species